rnacentral:rRNA from 1 species
GAUGAACGCUGGCGGCGUGCCUAAUACAUGCAAGUCGAGCGAACAGACGAGGAGCUCGCUCCUCUGACGUUAGCGGCGGACGGGUGAGUAACACGUGGAUAACCUACCUAUAAGACUGGGAUAACUUCGGGAAACCGGAGCUAAUACCGGAUAAUAUAUUGAACCGCAUGGUUCAAUAGUGAAAGACGGUUUUGCUGUCACUUAUAGAUGGAUCCGCGCCGCAUUAGCUAGUUGGUAAGGUAACGGCUUACCAAGGCAACGAUGCGUAGCCGACCUGAGAGGGUGAUCGGCCACACUGGAACUGAGACACGGUCCAGACUCCUACGGGAGGCAGCAGUAGGGAAUCUUCCGCAAUGGGCGAAAGCCUGACGGAGCAACGCCGCGUGAGUGAUGAAGGUCUUCGGAGCGUAAAACUCUGUUAUUAGGGAAGAACAAAUGUGUAAGUAACUAUGCACGUCUUGACGGUACCUAAUCAGAAAGCCACGGCUAACUACGUG